rnacentral:lncRNA from 1 species
AAAGAAAGUUGGGCCUAUUUAGUAAAGGAUAGAGUUUUUAUAAAUGAUAUACCCAUUAAGAAUCAUACUUUUUCUUCCAUUUUGAGUUCUUCUAAAAGCUCCCAUCAAAUAGUUAUUGAAAACUCAACCUGGAUUCUUGGUGAUGGAAAAGAAAUUAAUUUUUGACUUGAUUCUUGGGGUGGGUCUCCUCUAGCACAAACUCUUAAUAUCAAGAUUUUAGACCAGGCUUUUCUGACAAAAAAGGUGAGUGACUUCCUUCUUAGUAGAACUUGGAAUAUUCCUCCUAAUGUUGGCCUUUCCCAACUAAUACAAUAUCAUUAAUACAUGUCACAUUCUUACUAAGUACUCAGAGGAGUCAAUAUGUUGGAGACAUGUUGAUAUUGGUUACUUGACCCUAAAGGAAGCUUACGAAUUCCUUGCUAAACCUAGUUAACCCAUUCCUUGGCACAAACAUGUUUGGGAUCCUAGUGUCCCUCACUCUAAGUCUUUGCUCUCAUGAAGGUUCCUUCAAAAUAAGCUCCCAUCUAAUGAAAACCUAGUUGUUAAAGUUUGUCAUCUUCCAUCCAUUUAUAACCUUUAGCAUAAACAUAAUGAAACAACUCAUCAUAUCUUGUUUGAUUGUAGCUUUACUUCCCAUAUGUGGUCCUAGUUUUCUUAUAUUAUAUCUUUCUUGGAAAAUCG